UUGCGUGCAGCUUUCAAAAUACAGCAAUUUGAAGCUCAGCUGCUUAUCUUCUAAGGCAGCCCCGAGCGAGAACUACACAUGUUAUGAUUGGUCUUUCCUUCUUGGAUUGAGCGUGGGGAGACCCAUGCCGAAAGUACCCAGUUCCUGAAAAUGUCACAGCAAACACCCCUAUUACCCUCUUUCAAUUAUGGAAGUAUAAGAUACUACACUGGGAAGAAGUUAGAAGACCUCAGCAUGGACCUAAAACAUCUUCGGGAGCCUCCAAGUGCAUCCAGAUUGGAUUUGCUUCUUCUUGACAAUUGAUUUGCAUACCAUUUUUCAUACUUCCAUUGACAGCCCGUAAUGGUGAACCAAUGUCACAUGUGCCACAGGUGGCACAUGGAGCCACCUCUGCAGGUACGCGAGCCAUUGCCUAGGUCACCUCCACCGUGCAUGCAUGCACACCAACCAGCUGAUUUUUGGCCAGCCCCAGCUAUGCGCCCCUCCCCUCCAAGGAGUCUCCACACGGCCCGUUUUGGAUGCCAGGUAAGUACAGGGCUCACGCGGAGGCUCUGAGAGGGGAAAAACGGUCUUCCCGGAGGUCUGGAGAGCCAGGGGAGGCAAUUUUCACCCUCCUCACCCUCCUCCUCACCCUCCUCACCCUCCAGGAAAAGUUCCAGACCUGGGAAGGGCGAGAAAUGGACCUAACAGGCUUAUUGGAAGUCUGGAAAUGGGCCAUUUCUGGCACCCGGAGGCUUCAG